rnacentral:lncRNA from 1 species
CUCCUGAGGCCCUUUGUAGCAGCAACAUUCUAGAAUGAUGCUUGACCCUGGCCUCACCUGCUUCCAUUUGGCUGAGGGAGGAAGGGAGGGGUAGAGGCGGGACCUGGUGCUGUGGAAAGAGAGAACUCUUGCUCAUUCUUUCUAGUCAAGACCCAAGUGGACUCUUUGCUGGCUUUGAAAGGAAAGGCAUUUCUGGUUUGUACUUGGCAGGACUCUGAGAGCCCUAGGUAGGGGAGCCAGACACCACGUUACAGAGCCCCCCCAGCAGAGGCAGAGGGCGAGCGGCCCCAGACAGCAGAUGUAGAGGCCCGUCUCGGCUCCUCGGACUCGAACUCUGCUUCCAAAGGUGUCCGUCUCCACGAUGAGCUUUGCUGUCAGAGAAGGUAGCAGGAUGGCUAUUGGCAGAUCCCUGACCCCAGCUGGCCCACACACUUGUCACAGCCCAGCAGCAACUGCUCCAAAGACCAGGAACCCAAAACAUGGACUCCAGCUCCAGCCCAGCUACUAACAUGCUGUGCAACCCAGAGAAAGGGCUUUUCUGGACCUCGGGCCCCACCCCUGGGUUUACAGAGGGCAGUGGACGGGAUUAUGGUUUUCAAACUGGGUUCUCAAGAGAGGUCUUGGGACUAUCAAAUUGAAAAGGCUGAAGUGCCAUUCCUUCCACCCUCUUUUUAAACCAGACAGUGAUGUCUCUUAGAUUGAGGAUCUAAGUAAAAUUUAAUUGAAUCAGAGUUCCAUAGCUAAUCAAAAGAUCUCCGAGGAUCCUUCCAACUCCAAAUAUUAUGUGUGCGUGUCUCACAGGUCAUUACAAACACUUGGGUGAAGGGGUGACCUCCAGUCCCAAGGCCAAAGAUGAAAGCAUUGUCUCCUGUUUCUGCCACUUUGGGUUCUAACUCACAGCUUUGGCCACCCCCAGCCCCUCAACAUCACCAGGCUCUGCUCUGCUGAGAAGGUGCUAGGGAUGGGGACAGCUCUCCCUAAACACACAGCCCAAAGCAGGCUGCUUUCCCAGAACCUCAGACACCUGCCAGGAGGAUCCUGCCUCUUCCCUGUGGCUUCCCAGUCACCAGGGUCCCCAGCCCAGUGUCUAGAAAUCAACAACUCAAUUGUCUUUUCUCUUUCAGCCUCAUCACAGCUGGGCUUCUCAGCCCAGUGACCAAAUAGCUUCUGUGGGUGAGGAGGAGGGAGAAUCCUGCCUGCUGGCCUCUUAGACUGGAGGCCAGGAGGCAGGGCUGAAUUCUAUGCCUCCUUUCCCAUUCCCCUCCCCUUAGACAGCCAACUUGCCACAGAAGCCUGUCCUGUUCACCUCUCUGUGCAAUCAUCUCUUAUAGGCUGUCCUCAAGAAAGUAGUGAGGGUGACUUCACUGUUUAGGAAGGGACAGAAGGCGCUGGCUCUCCUGCCGUCCCUGCCGCAGAGCCCAGCCUCUCCCCUCCCUGAGAAAGCAGUUCUUGGACUUAGCCUGCAUUGACAUAUGGCACCUCCUCUGUCCCUGAAACCCAUGGCAGGGGUUUGGGGCAUCGAGGUCAGCAAGUCAGUCAUCACUGCUCAGCUUGUAAUGUUCCCCGCUUCACACAGGCUCAGUGCUGGGACCAGUGGCCAAGCCCCCGGUUUGGCCCCAAGUCAGCAGGGAAAUGCAGCUGUCACCUCCCUGCCUGCCCACCUCCUCCUGGACCUAGCCAGUCUGCUCAUCCCUCUCCCGCUCUGCCUUCCACAGCAAGAGGCAGCUAUUUUUAAGGGCCAGGAAGGAUGCUGACUGGAGGAGUGAGAGGAUGCCACUCUGGGGAUUCUGGCCAGAUGCGGCAGGCAGGGAUGAAGUAGGUGCCUCUGCAUCUUCCUGGGGCCGGUAA